rnacentral:tRNA from 1 species
CAUUAGGAUAGUUAAUUUAUAAUAUAAGAUUGUCAUUCUUCUGUUCCUCUAAAGGGCCUAAU